AGAGUUUGAUCAUGGCUCAGGAUGAACGCUAGCUACAGGCUUAACACAUGCAAGUCGAGGGGAAACGACAUCGAAAGCUUGCUUUUGAUGGGCGUCGACCGGCGCACGGGUGAGUAACGCGUAUCCAACCUGCCCACCACUUGGGGGAUAACCUUGCGAAAGUAAGACUAAUACCCAAUGACGUCUCUAGAAGACAUCUGAAAGAGAUUAAAGAUUUAUCGGUGAUGGAUGGGGAUGCGUCUGAUUAGCUCGUUGGCGGGGUAACGCCACCAAGGCGACGAUCAGUAGGGAUUCUGAGAGGACGGUCCCCANAUUGGAACUGAGACACGGUCCAAACUCCGUACGGGAGCA
rnacentral:rRNA from 1 species